rnacentral:misc_RNA from 1 species
GUUUGAAUGGAGGGAGCUGGUCAUACUCAUCUUCCUCCUCUUCUUGAUCCGAAUCAGACAAGUCGGCCAAAUCAACAUCAGAAUCACCAUUAUCACCAUUCUGAUCUGAUGACAGCUUCGGGUGUGUGCGGGAUUGCAACAAACCGGACAAUAAAUAUGGAAGAGGAGGUGAACGGCCACGGAGACCAAAAAUCUUCCUGUGGUCAAAUGUCUCUGGAGCUUUUGAAAGAUUUCCUACUUCAGCCAGGAUUUUAAUAGAAAAACAUAAAAGUA